GAUGAACGCUGGCGGCGUGCUUAACACAUGCAAGUCGAACGAGAAGUGAAGACGGAAACCUUCGGGCGGAAGGCUUUAUUUCGAGUGGCGGACGGGUGAGUAACGCGUGGGUAACCUGCCUCAUACAGGGGGAUAACAGUUGGAAACGACUGUUAAUACCGCAUAAGACCACAGCACCGCAUGGUGCGGGGGUAAAAACUCCGGUGGUAUGAGAUGGACCCGCGUUCGAUUAGCCAGUUGGCGGGGUAACGGCCCACCAAAGCGACGAUCGAUAGCCGAUCUGAGAGGAUGACCGGCCACAUUGGGACUGAGACACGGCCCAAACUCCUACGGGGAGCAGCAGUGGGGAAUAUUGCACAAUGGGGGAAACCCUGAUGCAGCGACGCCGCGUGAGUGAAGAAGUAUUUCGGUAUGUAAAGCUCUAUCAGCAGGGAAGAAAAUGACGGUACCUGAGUAAGAAGCCCCGGCUAACUACGUG
rnacentral:rRNA from 1 species